rnacentral:rRNA from 1 species
ACAUAACUGAUGCCUCCGCGUAUCGACUUUGUGCGCAUUUUAGCUAUUAUGUGUUCUUUUAAUUAAAAUGAUUCUUUUUAAGAUUCAUCUAUUAAAAAUUUGCUUCGGCAUAAUUUUUUUUGAUGAUCUUGUUACUUUGAGUAAAUUAGAGUGUUCAAAGCAAACAGAUAUAGCAUUUGUGCGUUUGAAUACUACAGCAUGGAAUAACAAAAUUGAACAAGUCAGAAUUUUUUUGUUCUUUUUUCUUAUUUUGGCUUAGUUACGAUUAAUAGGAGUAGCUUGGGGGCAUUUGUAUUCAGAUGUCAGAGGUGAAAUUCUUAGAUUUUCUGGAGACAAACAACUGCGAAAGCAUUUGCCUAAAAUACUUCCAUUAAUCAAGAACGAAAGUUAAGGGAGUGAAGACGAUCAGAUACCGUCGUAAUCUUAACCAUAAACUAUGCCGACUAGGCUUUGGAUGAAAGAUUUUAAAAUAAGAGUUUUUCUUUUCUCUCCGGAGAUUAGAACUCUUAGAUUGCUUCCUUCAGUGCCUUAUGAGAAAUCAAAGUCUUUGGGUUCUGGGGCGAGUAUUCGCGCAAGCGAGAAAGUUAAAAGAAUUGACGGAAGGGCACCACCAGGCGUGGAGCUUGCGGCUUAAUUUGACUCAACACGGGAAAACUCACUAGUUUAAGACAAGAGUAGGAUUGACAGAUUAAUAGCUCUUUCUUGAUUUCUUGGAUGGUGAUGCAUGGCCGUUUUUAGUUCGUGAAUAUGAUUUGUCUGGUUAAUUCCGAUAACGAACGAGAUCUUAACCUGCUAAUUAGCGGCAAAUACGAUAUAUUCUUAUGUAGAAUUGAAUAUAGUGGAUUUGUUGGAUUUUGAAGAAAAUAUUGGAAUUACGUUAAAUGUGAUUCCUUUCCCUUUUCUACUUAAUUUACAUUUUCCAUCUAUUUCUUUUUUGCGUAUGAAUGUAUUUGCUUGAUUGUAAAGCUUCUUAGAGGAACGAUGUGUG